AGGAUGGGGAGAGCAGAGUGCCUUUCACAGGGUUUCCUGAGGAUGAAGUGAGGUUUUUGCCUUUGGUAUCAUGUUUAAGGAAGGUGGCCCAAGAUUAUAUAUUUAAUUCAUAUUUUACAUUGGUAAUUUCUCACUGUUUACAUUUAAAUCUGUAAUCCACCCAUCUAUCUAUAGCUCCCUAUGUGUGUAUAUGUGUAUGGAGAGAGGUUUGAAAGCCUUUCCUCUAAAGCAUUGAGAUUAGAAUUUCCUUUCCUUUA